rnacentral:rRNA from 1 species
UACAGAGGUCUCAAGCGUUGUUCGGAUUCAUUGGGCGUAAAGGGUGCGUAGGCGGUGUGUCAAGUCAGGCGUGAAAGCCCCGGGCUCAACCUGGGAACCGCGCUUGAGACUGGCACGCUCGAGUUCGGGAGAGGAUGGUGGAAUUCCCAGUGUAGAGGUGAAAUUCGUAGAUAUUGGGAAGAACACCGAUGGCGAAGGCAGCCAUCUGGACCGACACUGACGCUGAGGCGCGAAAGCGUGGGGAGCAAACAGG